rnacentral:rRNA from 1 species
UACGGAGGGUGCGAGCGUUGUCCGGAAUCACUGGGCGUAAAGGGCGCGUAGGCGGCCUGAUAAGUAGGGGGUGAAAUCCUGCGGCUUAACCGCAGGGCUGCCUUCUAAACUGUCAGGCUUGAGCACAGUAGAGGCAGGUGGAAUUCCCGGUGUAGCGGUGGAAUGCGUAGAGAUCGGGAAGAACAUCAGUGGCGAAGGCGGCCUGCUGGGCUGUUGCUGACGCUCAGGUGCGAAAGCUAGGGGAGCGAACAGG